UACAGAGGUCUCAAGCGUUGUUCGGAUUCAUUGGGCGUAAAGGGUGCGUAGGUGGCGCGCUAAGUCAGGUGUGAAAUUUCGGAGCUUAACUCCGAAACUGCAUUUGAUACUGGUGUGCUUGAGGACUGGAGAGGAGACUUGGAAUUCAUGGUGUAGCAGUGAAAUGCGUAGAGAUCAUGAGGAAGACCAGUGGCGAAGGCGGGUCUCUGGACAUUCCUGAGCGCUGAGGCACGAAGGCCAGGGGAGCAAACGGG
rnacentral:rRNA from 1 species